CGAAAGCCUGACGGAGCAACGCCGCGUGAGGGACGAAGGCCUCUGGGCUGUAAACCUCUUUUCUCAAGGAAGAAGAUCUGACGGUACUUGAGGAAUAAGCCACGGCUAAUUCCGUGCCAGCAGCCGCGGUAAUACGGGAGUGGCAAGCGUUAUCCGGAAUUAUUGGGCGUAAAGCGUCCGCAGGUGGUCAGUCAAGUCUGCUGUUAAAGACAGAAGCUCAACUUCUGAAUGGCGGUGGAAACUGGUUGACUAGAGUAUGGUAGGGGUUGAGGGAAUUCCCAGUGUAGCGGUGAAAUGCGUAGAUAUUGGGAAGAACACCAGUGGCGAAGGCGCUCUACUGGGCUUUAACUGACACUGAGAGACGAAAGCUAGGGGAGCG
rnacentral:rRNA from 1 species